GAACCUUUCUCCACGACUGAGGAAUCUAAUACACGAGCAAGUAUGUCAAGAAUAGUCUUGCUUGCAGAAGCUUUAUUUGGAUUUUUAGAUGAACUUCAUCGCCAGCCCACGCCAUUUUCAUUAUCUAUGGCCUCUCUCCCAGCAGCAGAAUCAGUUGUUGACUCUUUUCCUCUGAGGUGUCACAAAAUGGUUGACACCGCUGAUGGUGGUAGUAAUACUGAACAAUGUUACAUAUGCCUGGUGGAGUAUGAAGAAGGGGACAAAAUUCGUGUUCUGCCUUGCAAUCAUGAGUUCCACAUGGCAUGCGUUGACAAGUGGCUUAAGGAGAUACAUGGUAUAUGUCCCCUGUGUCGUGGAAAUGUCUCUGAAGGGUUCACCGAGUCUUCUGCCUCAGACACACAAACGUCAUCUCACUGAUUUUGUGUAUGUGCGAUUGUAAAUAUUAGCAUCAUUUCCGCUCCUUGGAAAUCCGGGAGCUGCGGGAAAUUCAUGGCGAUGCUUGAUUGGCAAAGAAGGUAUCGGCAUUUCUUUCGAUUUCAGUCCUCCUUGGCUGACCAGAAGCACCGUCAUCAACCCCCACGCAAGUUUCAUGGUAGCUAGCCAUUAUUGCCUGCUUCUUUCUGUCAUGAAAAUAGGAAGAAAAUAAUGCGACACUUGCCCCUUUGAAUGUUGUUUCUUUCUCCCCUUGAAUAAGUUUCGCUGACUGCAAAGAAUAUUGCUUCUAAUUGAGGGCAAUGGUAGACCUUUUGCAGUUACAACUAAAUUGCUAUAUAUGUAAAGAUAAACUUUCAAUCACUUAUUUAAAUAGUUUAUUUUGUAUCUGUUGUUUCUUUUUUUUUUUCUUGGAUUAUAAAAAGUCACUUGUUUAUGGAACGA